UUCCGGUUGAUCCUGCCAGAGGCCAUUGCUAUCGGAGUCCGAUUUAGCCAUGCUAGUCGCACGGGUUUAGACCCGUGGCAGAUAGCUCAGUAACACGUGGCCAAACUGCCCUCUGGAUCGUGAUAACCUCGGGAAACUGAGGCUAAUCGCGAAUACAGCUCCCAUGCUGGAAUGCAGGGAGCUGGAAACGCUCCGGCGCCAGAGGAUGUGGCUGCGGCCGAUUAGGUAGACGGUGGGGUAAUGGCCCACCGUGCCGAUAAUCGGUACGGGUUGUGAGAGCAAGAACCCGGAGACGGUAUCUGAGACAAGAUACCGGGCCCUACGGGGCGCAGCAGGCGCGAAACCUUUACACUGCACGACAGUGCGAUAGGGGGACUCCGAGUGCGAGGGCAUACAGUCCUCGCUUUUCUAUACCGUAAGGUGGUACAGGAACAAGUGCUGGGCAAGACCGGUGCCAGCCGCCGCGGUAAUACCGGCAGCACGAGUGAUGGCCGCUCUUAUUGGGCCUAAAGCGUCCGUAGCCGGCCAAGCAAGUUCGUCGGGAAAUCUGCCCGCUUAACGGGCAGGCGUCCGGCGAAAACUGCUUGGCUUGGGGCCGGGAGAUCCAAGGGGUACGUCCGGGGUAGGAGUGAAAUCCUGUAAUCCUGGACGGACCACCGAUGGCGAAAGCACCUUGGAAAAACGGACCCGACGGUGAGGGACGAAAGCUAGGGUCUCGAACCGGAUUAGAUACCCGGGUAGUCCUAGCCGUAAACGAUGCUCGCUAGGUGUGGCGCAGGCUACGAGCCUGCGCUGUGCCGUAGGGAAGCCGAGAAGCGAGCCGCCUGGGAAGUACGUCCGCAAGGAUGAAACUUAAAGGAAUUGGCGGGGGAGCACUACAACCGGAGGAGCCUGCGGUUUAAUUGGACUCAAC
rnacentral:rRNA from 1 species